CUCAUUGUUAAGAAUGGUAAUGCAGUCCCUCUCAACCACAAAAGCUAGGGCUGGAACAACACCAGACUCGGAUGGGUAGCUGUUGUCAUCAGCAUUCUGCAAACAGGGUGGAUUGAAUGAGAUGGGGUCUUUUUACCUUGGGCAUUGGGGGCCAAGCAGACUGACUCCAUUAACGGCAAGGAUCCUGUCUCCCGGUUGCAGCUUCUCACAGCGGGCUGCCGGUGUGUUGGGGACCACUGCCCUGAUGAAGAUGCCUUUCACCUUCAACGACAUGUCCUGGAAAAAUGAGGCACUGAUGUUUCGUUUUGGUCCAAAGAGCAACUGAGUGACUUUUGGAGAAGUUGGUUUAGGGACAACGUUCUAUACAAUUGUGUGGUAUGUUGACAAUAAUGUGUGUCCAUCAUGUAUUAUUAUUACUUUGUAAAACAUUAUCUGCACAUAAUCAACUGUCGCCAUUAAAGACAUGCAGUAAUAUACCUCCAAUCCCAGUGUUUUCA